rnacentral:rRNA from 1 species
CUCCAACGAAGCUGCUGCUCAGCUUUCUCGCUAUAUAUUCGGAUUGCAGCCUUGCAGCGAAGGGUACUCUGCUUCUCAUCCACUGCAACUGCAAGCUCCACCUCCACACACACAAAGAGGCGCAGCAGCAGCCAGCAAUGACGCAGAGGAUCGUGAUCGCGGUGCAGAUGGCGAGCAGCAGGUGCCGGUCCAAGGCGCUGGCGCUGGUGGCGGCCACGCCGGGGGUGGACUCGGUGGCGCUGGCCGGGGACGGCAAGGACCAGCUGGUGGUCGUCGGCCACGGCGUCGACUCCGUCAAGCUCACCAGCGCGCUGCGCAGGAAGGUCGGCCACGCGCAGCUGCUGCAGGUCGGCGACGCCAAGAAGGAAGACGCGAAGAAGCCGCCGGCCGCGGUCGUGGUCGAAUACUACCCGUACGGUUACUACUACCCAUCACAACCGGCGCCGGUCAACUUCUUCUACGAGCAGCAGCACUACCCUGCUGCUGCCGCCGUCGAGGCGUACGGGUACCCAUGUUCGCGGCCGGAGCCGGGCACCUGUUCGGUAAUGUAGACCACAUCACAUGCUGAUUGGGUAGCGCGUUGAUUACUUAUACUGACUUUUGCCGGUCAUACUUGACGAUCAAGAGCUUGGCACCUCUCAAGUUUUCAUGGUGGUAUCGGACUUGAUGGAGUAUCUACUAAGGUUCAGCUAGCUACUGUGUCGAGCUUCAAUUAGUUAUAAGCUUCCUUCGAUGUCAGGUCUUGUCUUCUCAAAGAGCAGAGUUUCUGACAACAAACAAGCGGACCGUCAGCAUGACAAGUCCGGUUUCGAGUCCAACAAAAUCUGUCACGGGCCGGAAAAAUGAAUACUCCCUCCGUCCCUGAGUAUGAUUUAUACGACAUGGCGAGUGACAAAUCUUCUGCUCAACUCGCUAAUCGGCAGGUGGCAGCCCUCAACCUCAGCGCUGGUCUAUUACAAAGGACAACGCUAACGUCCACACGUGUGGUGUGAACCAAAUCUGCCCACACAUCCUAUACACGCAGGUUACGCCACGUCAUCGCGUGCAUGCAUGUGGAAAUCUUUUUGAAUUUUCAGUUUUUAAAAUGUUUUAUCUCUUAAAUAAAAAUAUCAUAUUGAAGGUUCGUUUUCACCAUUAGAUCCCUCGCGACAAGAUCUUCGAAACUAGAUCUCAUAUCAAUAUAUUUCGAUGAUUUUUUAUUAUUAAAAGUUGCCAUGUCUACUGCACAUGAAUUGACAUGAUGUUUAACUGAAGUUGCCAUGAUAUGUUUCAGCUAUUUUCUUCUACAUUAGUAAAUUUUGACAUAUUAUAAAAUGAUGAAUUAAGAAACUAGACUUGACAUGAACUAUAAACUAAAAUUGCCAUUGUUAGAAUAUAUAACCGUAUUAUGUGUAUAGAUAUACGGUUGUAUAUGUGUAGUCUUUGUAUAGGUGUCCGUAUAUUGUACGAUACGAACUCUGCCUUGUAACCUCUAUAUAUUGAUCAAUACAAGGCACCACAACGUGUGGUUUUCCC